UACGUAGGGUGCUAGCGUUGUCCGGAAUUAUUGGGCGUAAAGAGCUCGUAGGCGGUUCGUCGCGUCGGCUGUGAAAUCCCGGAGCUCAACUCCGGGUCUGCAGUCGAUACGGGCGAACUCGAGUUCGGCAGGGGAGACUGGAAUUCCUGGUGUAGCGGUGAAAUGCGCAGAUAUCAGGAGGAACACCGGUGGCGAAGGCGGGUCUCUGGGCCGAUACUGACGCUGAGGAGCGAAAGCGUGGGGAGCGAACAGG
rnacentral:rRNA from 1 species